CUGGGCUGCUUCUAAGAACUUUCGCCGCAGGGACUCGGGCUUCACAUUGAACGUCUGAGGUUUUCAAGCUGGAAUGCAGGAAGGGCCCUUGCCUGGUGAUGGGAUGCAAGACGUGGCUCCAGAGAUCUCCUUGGCUGUGUCCCCGCCUGUGGGGUACUCCGUCUGCAAGGAGAGGGCGUGAGCACAGGCUGCACAGAGUCCUGUGGUGUCAGGUUUUCUGCUUCCAGUUUCCGGAUCCAGCGGCAUCCCAGCCCUGCUUGCUGUUUGCUUGUUCAUUCCUUUUUAUGUUGGCCUCGGUGGACACGGCGGGUUUCUGCCUCCGGCCAGAGAAGAAGGAGGGGGGGGAGGAGGAGGGAGAGAGAGUCCGAGGAUGAGGCUGCUGCCGAGGCCGCAGCUGUGUCGUGUGGUGGAUGGCUGAGCUGAGCUGACCACUCCACAGCCAUCCUUGCUCGUCUUUUCUUCUGGCGGAACCUGCGCCCCAGGCUUCAUGCAGAGAACGAACCGGGCCGAUGAGACGAAAGGGAGGGUGCUGGAGGCGGCGGCUGCCAGGGGGAGUUUCCCUUAUUAUUCCAAGGGGACCUGUGACAGGGGCUGUGAGGACAUAGCUCGGUGUCCCCAGGUAUCCGUUUGACCCUUUCUCCACGUAGGAGGAGUUUUUAGUUGGGCACCUGGCUGUGCAGCCAAGGACUGUGCUUCCCAGCCUCCCUUGCAGCUAAGUGUGGCCACGCAGCCAAGUUCUACCCACUGGUGUGAGUGGAAGUGACGUGUACAACUUCUGGGGCCGAGUCUGAAGGCCGAGGGGCGUGUCCUCCCUCCCCCCUUCCUGACGACUAGAAUACUUACUCGUGAUGAGGCAUCUCCAUCCUUGCAGAUCUUGCUGCGCUGUCUGGAACUGUGGCAGCCAUCUUGCGACCAUGAGGGGAAAGUCAAGACCGAAGUUGAGAAGCCAACUGAGAAGUCACUUCCGUGGAGCUGCUGAAUCUGCCAACUCUGCAACCACUCAUUUCAGACAUCCUGUUAGACGAGAUAAAUUUUUUAUUAUUCAAGCUCUUUGCAUUGGUCUUUCUAUCUCAUGCCAACGGAGGUACCUGAUGCGGUAUGUGGUGGAGUUGCCUAAAGUCAUACCCUGGCCAGGGACAGUGGAAGGCUCCCAGUGGGGAGAUUUGAGACCCACACCCACGCCGCCAUCAGGAGGUUCUGCCCCUUCCUUCCAGAAGGUGCAAAUCCAGCCCCAGAACUUUCUAGACAAAACAGUUGUCAAGAGUGUUGAUGAAAUGGCCUGUCUGUUUAUCCAUCAAGAAAAAAAAGGGAGCGAGAGAGAUGAAGACACCACAGCUAAGGAGCUCCUGUGCAUUGUUCAG
rnacentral:lncRNA from 1 species